GCGAGAGUAGUAUAGUGGCAGUACAUUAGCUUCCCAAGCUAAUAGCAGGGGUUCGAUUCCCCUUUCUCGCA
rnacentral:tRNA from 1 species